rnacentral:rRNA from 1 species
AUUGAACGCUGGCGGCAGGCUUAACACAUGCAAGUCGAGCGGAGAUGAGGUGCUUGCACCUUAUCUUAGCGGCGGACGGGUGAGUAAUGCUUAGGAAUCUGCCUAUUAGUGGGGGACAACAUUCCGAAAGGAAUGCUAAUACCGCAUACGUCCUACGGGAGAAAGCAGGGGAUCUUCGGACCUUGCGCUAAUAGAUGAGCCUAAGUCGGAUUAGCUAGUUGGUGGGGUAAAGGCCUACCAAGGCGACGAUCUGUAGCGGGUCUGAGAGGAUGAUCCGCCACACUGGGACUGAGACCCGGCCCAGACUCCUACGGGAGGCAGCAGUGGGGAAUAUUGGAAAAUGGGGGGAACCCUGAUCCAGCCAUGCCGCGUGUGUGAAGAAGGCCUUAUGGUUGUAAAGCACUUUAAGCGAGGAGGAGGCUACUGAGACUAAUACUCUUGGAUAGUGGACGUUACUCGCAGAAUAAGCACCGGCUAACUCUGUGCCAGCCGCCGCGGUAACAC